CUUUUGCAAACAAUGGACUGUGGCCUGGAUUUGAUUUUAAGUGCAAUAUCAGGAAUCCAAUUUCUUAGAGGGCACAGUUUUUGUGUUUGGAUUUUAAACAGUGAAGUUGUAAAGGCUAGAGUGCUGGGUGUGGCAGAAUGUGACUGAAAUGUAGAGCUGUUUUGAGAUCUUGGAGUGCACACGCCAACAGUCACCAUGAGCAUUGUAAGCGUAGGCAUUCGAAUCUUUUUAUGUAUAAUUUUGUUUCUUUCUUUUUUCUGUAUGAUUUUUUUUUUGAAUGAAAAACUGGCCAGUCUUUUGUGUUAACUGUGAAAUAGAAUGUUGAAAUUCUGUAUGAAGAUAGAGAACAGAUCCUGAAA